GAAUAAUCUGCUUCUUUCUCCAGGAUACCGAUAGAUUGGCUGGGAAUUGGAUAUUAAGACCAGCUCUUGCACAAUAAAUGAAAGACCUUCCACUGCUACUUGCAAGGAACUCUAACAAAGAGAGACAGCACUAUCUCCAAGAGAGCUGACCUAGAUUCAUUCUCUGACAAAACCAGUUGAGAGGAGUAAGAUCUGUUUCCACAUCAGUGAUCAUUCUCACCAUUGUGAUGAGAAAUUCAGAGCACUUGUACUUUAAAGAGAGUGGAUAGACAGUAUGGAAUGUUGGAAGUUGUCCUUGAAUUUUAAAAAUAAAACCGCUAUAAAAUU
rnacentral:lncRNA from 1 species